UGGGGGGCCCAUGAACUUGUUGGUCUACUUCGGCUUGCUCGAGUACCCACACCUCGCCGAAGUCGCCUCGGCCCGCCGGGCCUUGAGUGCGCAAUCGGAGGCGACAUUCUUGCCGGAGUGGGUGAAGCAUCACCGU
rnacentral:SRP_RNA from 14 species